ensembl:lncRNA novel transcript, antisense to DISP3
AGGUCAUGAGCGAGCUGGGGGGCGAGCAGUAGGAGUAGGAGCCCAGCGGCAGAUCCUUGAGCACCUCGUGGGGCUUCCAGCAGAACUCCCGGAAGCCUGGGUGGUCCAUGAUCUUGCGCUCGAUCUCAUGGAUCGUGACCAGGCGCUCACUGGUGAAAAUGUUGCGCUCCGCGUCGCCGCGCGCCAGGAAGAUGAGCUCGAUGCGCCAGUGCGCGUGCGUCUGAGUGUUGGCACUCACAUAGGCGCGCGAGUAGUCCCAGCGCGAGGCGCCUCGGCGGGCACGGCUCUGAUUGGCCGCGACUGCCGCGUGGGGCGGGAUGCUGGGCUGGUACCGCCCAUUCUUGCUCAGCCGCUGGUUUCGCGGGUCUUCACUCUGGUUGGCUGCCAGAUCCUCCAGGGGCGGGGUCUCACGCCGAAGUCGCCCGCUCCGAUUGGCUGUGGGCUUUUGAGCCGCGGAAGUGUCCCGGAUCCAAACUGGGACUUAAGCGCCAGAGUGAGAGCGUCGAAACGCUGUGAGGCCUCGUGGUUGCGGAUCUCAAAGGCGUUGUAGGAGAUGUCAAUGUCCAGCGGUGGGUAGUAAAGGAACAUGAAGGCUGACAGGGCCAUGGGGAUGCUGCAGCCCAGGAAGAGCACCAGCCCAGCACAGCACGGAUUGGUGAAGGCCCAGCCCAGGGUACUCCAGAAGCCCGAAGCUGGGGGUCGGGAAGCCAGGGGCCAGUGCCGCCAGCAACACUGUCCCCCUGCCCCAGGUUGGGGCCCUGGCUUCUGGGCCCCUAAAAAGGUUUCACCCGUUGCUUCUUCCUCCUCCUGCUCCUCCUCUAGCCACACAUCCUGCAGCAAGGGGUCAUCCUCCGUGUCCAUAGUCUGCAGGAGAGGGAGAGGGUCAGCAGGCUAGAGAGACAGUGAGGGGAAGGUGCCCUGUGGUGCAGUUCGCCCAGCCCUAGGUACCAACCCUGUCCACUCAUAACCAAAUACUAAUACUGCAAUGGAAUUGCAUCAAGCAUGCAUCAACACAACUGAAUUAAACCACCGGUAAAAAAUACAGAGAAAA